rnacentral:rRNA from 1 species
GGGGAAUUUUCCCCAAUGGGCGAAACCCUGACGGACCAAUACCGCGUGAGGGAGGAAGGUUCUUGGGUUGUAAACCUCUUUUCUCAAGGAAUAAGAAUGAAGGUACUUGAGGAAUAAGCAUCGGCUAACUCCGUGCCAGCAGCCGCGGUAAUACGGAGGAUGCAAGCGUUAUCCGGAAUGAUUGGGCGUAAAGCGUCCGUAGGUGGUUUUGUGUGUCUGCUGUUAAAGCGUGCGGCUUAACCGCAUAAGGGCGGUGGAAACUACAAGACUAAAGUACGUUCGGGGCAGGGGGAAUUCCCAGUGGAACGGUGAAAUGCGUAAAGAUUGGGAAAAACACCGGUGGCGAAAGCGCCCUGGUAGGCCGUAACUGACACUGAAGGACGAAAGCUAGGGGAACGAAAGGGAUUAAAUACCCCAGUAGUC